rnacentral:misc_RNA from 1 species
UACGUAGGGUGCGAGCGUUAAUCGGAAUUACUGGGUGUAAAGGGAGCGUAGACGGCAAGGCAAGUCUGGAGUGAAAGCCCGGGGCCCAACCCCGGGACUGCUCUGGAAACUGUGGUGCUAGAGUGCAGGAGGGGUGGGCGGAAUUCCUAGUGUAGCGGUGAAAUGCGUAGAUAUUAGGAGGAACACCAGCGGCGAAGGCGGCCCACUGGACUGCGACUGACGUUGAGGCUCGAAGGCGUGGGGAGCAAACAGG